rnacentral:rRNA from 1 species
UCGGGAAUUUUGGGCAAUGGGCGAAAGCCUGGCCCAGCAACGCCGCGUGAGGGAUGAAGUAUUUCGGUAUGUAAACCUCGAAAGAAUGGGAAGAAUAAAUGACGGUACCAUUUAUAAGCUCCGGCUAACUACGUGCCAGCAGCCGCGGUAAUACGUAGGGAGCAAGCGUUGUUCGGAUUUACUGGGCGUAAAGGGCGCGUAGGCGGCGCGGUAAGUCACUUGUGAAAUCUCUGAGCUUAACUCAGAACGGCCAAGUGAUACUGCUGUGCUAGAGUGCGGAAGAGGCAACCGGAAUUCUUGGUGUAGCGGUGACAUGCGUAGAUAUCAAGAGGAGCCCCUGAGGCGAAGGCGGGUUGCUGGGCCGACACUGACGCUCAUGCA